UCCUGUUGUUGGUGGAAAUACCCAUCUCCCUCUCUCCUCUACGGUAUCCAGUCUCCACUGCUCCGCUGCGUAUCGAGCUGCUUUUCCCCACGGUGGUGGGUCCCUUAAAACCCGUUUCAGGCCUCCAUCGUCAGCUAGAUUGGCGUUUCCCGGCGACGAAUGGCAUCUUCUCUGGCGAAUCUUUUCGGUUUCUUCGGUAAAUUUCUCGUUGCGGUCGCUCCUCCGUUGCUCUUCCGCGAAUGUCGCGCGGUUCUGCGAUUUCUGCGUGCCAUCGGAGGAUCCGACCAGGAAUCUGUAUUGCAUGCACAUGGAUAUGAGAAUGGGAUUCAGAUGUUUAUUGAAGUGUUUGAUGCAACAUGACGGAAAAAAGGAGAUUACAAGAUUGGUAGGAUGUAUUAAUAGUUUUAACUAAAUUAUAUAUUUGUACCUUUAAAUGUUGUUGGACAUGAAAAAGGAAUACUAAGAAGAUAUUGUCUGUUAAGGUCUUUCAAUAUUCAUGUUUUUUGUUCAGACUUUCUAAUUAACUUAUGGAUAUAAGAAAAAUAUUUUGCACAGUUAAUGCAAUACUUACAUCCUUGGCCAAUCAGUAAAAAAAACGAAUGCUUGCCAUUGACAUGAAAAUAGAGGAUCAAAUUCAUUAUUGGAAGAGUUCAAUUAUCGCUCAAUGUUCAAAAGCAGUGACCAUAGACCUUUAUAAGAAUCCAAGUAUCUGAUAUGUAUCACACUCAUAGGUAACAUAGGCAGGAUUAUGUAGAAGUUGUUUGCUUAGGGAAGCAAAUUGAGCAUAUAGAUCGUGUAGUUAGUUAUGACUUUUCAAACAGGAGGAAUCUGCCUUAGUAUAAGUACAUUGUAUUAUGACAGCUAAGCUUUUCGCGAUCAAAAUGGGGUUAGUUGUGGAGCAUAAGUGAAGAAACAGCUUACUAGCAGGUUGAGCAAGAUUUAUGACUAGGUACACGUAUUGCAUGUGGCCUAUUAGAUUAUUUUGUGCUCUUUUUCCUUAGAGAUUUAUUUAGCCACUAUUUGUCUUAUCUAACAUUUUGACCGUGGAUUCAAGUGUCCAUCAGCAUGAUGUUUAACAUAACAAUGCCUUACUUGCACAUGGCACAUGCCAGCUGCGUGCCAAUGCUUGGCAUGUUGCCAUGCCAAUGCACAGCUCGUUUUGAAGUAUUUGCCAUGUCAAUGCCAUGUUGGCACUACCUUGGCAAGUGAUACUUUGACAUUGCAUGUGACUGCUUGUAUGCUUUUUAUUAUGGAAUGACCAUUGAUUACUCAAGAAUGAAUGAUCUCCGUGUCAGUCUAUUCUACAUGAAAAUGACCAAGAGAUUUAUUAAUUCUGUUUCGUCGAACAUAAUAAAUCCCUUCCUAUUUCUCAUCCUGCAUGCAAGAUGAGAAGGGAAAAAUCAUCUACCCCAGUUCGAUUUCCUUUGUGUGAGGCUUGUAUGUACUGCUAAUUUGGCUGUUUCUUUCUGCUCAUAUUGUGUAUUUCAACUGUCCAGUGGAUGUAUAUAUAAUUGUUGAUCUUUCCUCUUUUUUCCUGGUGUUUUCUGCAACAUUUUUCUUAUUAGCUUUACUUGAGAUCUAUGAUUUUGCAAUACUUAUCCUGUUGCUCCUUAUGGUGUUCAAUUUUGUUGGGGACUCCUUUUCUUUAUCAAGGCUUAUCCAAGAAUUUGUCACUGGUAUGUGGACAUUUUGACAAAUAACUUCAUUUCUUUUUUUUUGUUAUUUCUGUUGAGGUGUAUUUUCUUUUCACGCUGUCUUCUUUGUCAUGGACUUUAUACUGCAGUUUGUUCAAAAAUCUUGACUGUAGAUUUACUCUAUAGGGUUAGAAAUUUUUUGCUGCUUGCCAACAACCUUGUCAAGUGGAGUUGCAUUAUCAAUUAUAAGCUUGCUGGGGGAAAUGAUGCUCUUGCUUUUGUAUUGACAGUGAAAUCUAAUUUGUUAGGCAUUCUGAUGUGAGAGGCUGGCCUGUGAAGGCGUACUCACGAAUAGAUUCUAUUUGCCAGUUGCAUAAACAGUAAUUAGAAAGCUAUAUUCUAGGAAAAAAUAAUCAGAUGCAUCAUGUAACUUGCAAGGCUGCUACGGUUGACUUAACCUCAGCAAUGAGGAAAGUCUUGUAGAAAACACCAUCUGUGAUGGUUGCUGUUGUUGAGCUGCUUGGCUGAUCAUUUGGCGAAACUGGAUUUUUGGUCCUCCCAUGUGUUGCUUCCCACAUGAGCCAGAUAGUUAUCUACCCCCUUUAUAGUGUAACUUGUGGCUUCGGGAGGAUCAACUGUCUGCUAAAACCAGAGAAGCUCAGAUUGUGAGUCAGCACACUUUCAUAUGCUAGCUUCUCACAGAAUGCUCUACUGGCUGAUGCAUUUGCAGUAUUGUUCAUUAGAUUAUGCAUCUAGACUCCAGUAACUGUGCUGGUUGCCCCUAUUCGAGGACGAGGUUUGAUCAUUCAGGCUUCAACUGCAGUUAUCUGGCCUGAAGAAUGCGCUGCCCAGGAAUUCUAGACAUAUGUCUUGGUUUCUGCCUCCAUGAUGACCAUCCGAAUCUUGGUGCGGUGAGAGGCAGGGAUCAAUCCUUCGGUUUCAUCCUUCUGAAGAUUAUAUUGAUAAUUUCACCGAGGGGAUAGUAUAGAAAUAGUGUGAGUGACAAAUUGACGCCACUCCUGACUAAACUUUUUUCCCUAUUUGAAAGAUAAGCAUCACGUGCUUGCUGGUUCCGGCUGCCCGGCGUGCUUGGGCCAAUGAAUUCAUUAGUUCAUGGUUGGUAGUCCAGCAUUGCAUGGGAUGGCAACUCCAUGUCUUCUCUCUCUUUGAUAUUUACACAUGGUGUCGUCUUAAGGAUGAACGCGUCUGCUGUUAUAUGGCCAGUUUGGUCAUCCCUUGGUUUUUCAAAAAAUAAAAAAAAGGAAAGGAAAGAAAAAGAAAAGAGAAAAAAGGAUGGUUGUUUACCUGCUAGUUUCUAGUCAGGCCAUUAGACUGCCCAACUGUUUCUGUAUGGCACAUUGCUCCAGGUUACAGAGAAGUUAUCAGACCUUGCAGUUUUGGACGUCUUCAGCAUGGGUUGAUCUGGAGGAAUUUGUUGACAUAACAGCAGUAUUUUAUUGCCUGACAGCCAUAACUGAGAGGCCCUGAAAACAUGCACUGUCCUGUCUAAUGGGUUGUAUUUGUUCCUCUCGGUCAUGACUAUCCUGCAAAGCAUUAAUGGUCGUGAUUUGGAGAGGUAACACCAAAAUGGAGAGGAUUUCAUACUCAUUAUUGCCAGGGUUCAACCCCAACAUGGAGAGGAUCUCAACUGCAGUUGCUAAUAGGGCGGUAAAUAAUCCCAUCUGCUUUUGAGCUGCUGGGGCUCCGCUUGCCAACGGUCAGCUUGGGCUCGAUUCAGGUAACACGUGAGCCUAGCUGGGACAUAUUUUGGAGCCCAACUCAUAAAUGAGCGUACCGAAACACCAGGACUCGGGCUUAGCCGAGCCGCUUUCUUAAGCCUGGCCUGAGUUUGAGCCGCUCUUGAGCAGCUUGUUUAGGUGAUAAGCCAAGCCCAAGCAGCCUGGUAUGUAGCUCGGCUUGUCUUACUCCAGUUUCCCUCUGAGACAGGCUGUAGCAUGUUCUCAAUGCUGCAUUGCAUGGGCUGAUGUUAGCGUCGAGCCCACAUGUGAGGUCAGACAUUGUUGUUUUUUUUUUUUUGGUAAAACAGGAAGGGGUUAGAAGAGGGGGUGUUCCGGUGUGGCUACUUUCUCUGGACGUGAUCAUAAGACUUCUAAUCCUACUGAAGAAUAAUCUAUUCAAAAGGUAAA